rnacentral:rRNA from 1 species
AGAGUUUGAUCAUGGCUCAGGAUGAACGCUGGCGGCGUGCCUAAUACAUGCAAGUCGAACGAGAUGCUUUUGUAGCAAUACGAGAGUAUUCUAGUGGCGAACGGGUGAGUAACGCGUUGGUGACCUACCCCAAAGUGUGGGAUAACAGUCCGAAAGGAUUGCUAAUACCGCAUGUGGUCUUCGGAUUUAGAAACUGAUGACUAAAGGAGCAAUUCGCUUUGGGAGGGACCUGCGUCCCAUCAGCUAGUUGGUGAGGUAACGGCUCACCAAGGCGACGACGGGUAGGGGACCUGAGAGGGUGACCCCCCACAAUGGAACUGAAACACGGUCCAUACACCUACGGGUGGCAGCAGUAGGGAAUAUUGCACAAUGGGCGAAAGCCUGAUGCAGCAACGCCGCGUGUGUGAUGAAGGCCUUCGGGUCGUAAAGCACUUUUCUGGGAGAUGAGAAAGGACAGUAUCCCAGGAAUAAGUCUCGGCUAACUACGUGCCAGCAGCCGCGGUAAUAC